CAUUCAGCAUUCUUCAACAAACACUCUGUUGCCUGUGCCCAGAGACCCAGAUGCUGGAACCUGACCGCCCGGAUCUAAUUCUAGUCCCACCACUUACCAGCUGGCUGACUUGGCAGGCAACUUCACCUGUUGUGCUUCCGUUUUCCAUAGAUAAGAUGGAAUCUGGCUAACAUCAACGUCACUGAGCAGGCUGGGUGCAGCAACUCACGCCUGUAAUUCCAGCACUUUGGGAGGCUGAGGAGGUGGGAGGAUCACUUGAGCCAAGGAAUUUGAGUCCAGCCUGGGUAACAUAGCAAGACACCCCCCAAUAAAGAAUCGAGCCUGCCCAGCCUAUGGGUGCUGAUUGCUCCAAACAAUCCCUGCAUUCCCCCAUAAAGUCCAGGCUGCCCGAACCAUGGCCAGUAAUACUGGAGAACAACCCCUCCAACCGAGCUGCCCAAACUGGCUGCCAAUCCGCAAGAACGGCCCCUUAUCCAGCCUGCACCCCCACCCUCUCCAUGGCUGCUAAUCCUGGAAACAAUCCCUCUAUUCCCACUUCAGAAGCUGGCUGCGCCUCCCCCAUGAGACACCUCUGCGCCCUCCCCGAAUGAGCCGCACGUCUGCUUCUCCAAACGGCCGCUGUGCCCGGUGCUCAGCGCAUCUCAACUCGCGGCAGGCCGCCCCGCGAGCCGCCUCUCCCUUUCCUGCGGCUCGAAGGGACCCCAGCGUGAACCGUGUGCUUGUUUUUCAUUGUCUCCAUCUCGGGGCUUCCUUGUAGAGUUUGGAGCUCCGCGUGAACAGCGCUCUACGCGCUAGUUCCAUCGGCUCCUCGGUGCCCGCACGCAGCCGCGCGUGCCAGUCAGUGCCUGGGUCACCGCGAAUUCCAUCCCAACCCGCUCCGGCACCGCGACGGUCUCUCCUGUCACUGGAGACGUUUCUUGUGUCAGUGCAAAUAUAUGUCGUUCCUUGUUUUUUUCUAUUAAAGACAGUGCUUGGUGGGAACAUUUCUGCACUACUGGAGUUUCUGAAGCUUCAACCCCACGCACCAGGCCCACCCACACCCGGGCCCCCGUUCCCCCGCCCGACCCACCCACAACCAGCCACCUAGCUCAGAUCCCGGCCCAUGAUCUGCACCCCACGCCCGCCCCACACUCAAAACCGCUCCCCAAGGCCGCCUAAGCCCGCACCCCAUGGCCUGAGUCUCCUCCCACACCCGGCUUUCCCCGUGCCCAGCAACUUCUGCAAUGCCCGAUCCCCCAGUAUCCUGGCCCCCUGCAUUCCAGACCCCCACACCCUCUAGCCAUCGUCCCCCACGUCCCGGCCCCACCCCAUGUCUGACUCUCCCACGCCCAGGGCCUCCCUCACAGCUUUCCCUGUCACACUUUGGUCACCUUCCCACACCCAGACCCCUGCCCAGCGCUGGGCCCACCCUA
rnacentral:lncRNA from 1 species